UCUAGCGGAGGCGUGCAACUCGAAGCGCGGGAAAGGGAGAAUGGCGAUGGUGCAGAUAGUGCAGAAAUGGCAAAGAGCUGGUCAUGGAGGCGCCUAAAAAACGCCGAAGUUCAAAGGUUGGCGCUAUUUUGUUAAGUGAGGGACUUCACGCAUGAGGUGGCCGCUCGCGUGGCACAUGCUCGUACCUUGUGAUGGUUUUCCGAUGGCGCUUGAAAAGCCGGGCGCAAAAGUAACUGAGUUUCUUAAAUGUUCCUGACUGUUCUUGUCGGCAUGUCAAGAUACCAACGGGUGGAUCUCCUAUCUUCAUUAUGGAAACUCCUUGUUACGAAUGUCUGAAAGCACCAGUAGUGUACGUACGCUUCUCUCAAAAGGAUUACUUCGCUGGGAGGACAAGGUUCAAUGUCUUCUGGGAGCCAAGGGCUUGGUUUAUGGGCUACAAGAGAGUUUGGACUACAGCCUAGAGCUCUUGCAUGUAAGGAAGGUUCUCUUGGUCCAUGGCUUCCAGGAUUGUUUGCCGGCAGGUUUUACUUCGCCCGUCCCAUUCGCUGCGCUCCCCAGAGAAAAAUUGUAAUGUGUCCUGUGCUCUCGGCUACCCCGAGAAAGCACUGUUAAUAAAAUGCUCUG